rnacentral:rRNA from 1 species
GACGAACGCUGGCGGCGUGCUUAACACAUGCAAGUCGAACGGAAAGGCCCUGCUUUUGUGGGGUGCUCGAGUGGCGAACGGGUGAGUAACACGUGAGUAACCUGCCCUUGACUUUGGGAUAACUUCAGGAAACUGGGGCUAAUACCGGAUAGGAGCUCCUGCUGCAUGGUGGGGGUUGGAAAGUUUCGGCGGUUGGGGAUGGACUCGCGGCUUAUCAGCUUGUUGGUGGGGUAGUGGCUUACCAAGGCUUUGACGGGUAGCCGGCCUGAGAGGGUGACCGGCCACAUUGGGACUGAGAUACGGCCCAGACUCCUACGGGAGGCAGCAGUGGGGAAUAUUGCACAAUGGGCGGAAGCCUGAUGCAGCAACGCCGCGUGCGGGAUGACGGCCUUCGGGUUGUAAACCGCUUUCGCCUGUGACGAAGCGUGAGUGACGGUAAUGGGUAAAGAAGCACCGGCUAACUACGUGCCAGCAGCCGCGGUGAUACGUAGGGUGCGAGCGUUGUCCGGAUUUAUUGGGCGUAAAGGGCUCGUAGGUGGUUGAUCGCGUCGGAAGUGUAAUCUUGGGGCUUAACCCUGAGCGUGCUUUCGAUACGGGUUGACUUGAGGAAGGUAGGGGAGAAUGGAAUUCCUGGUGGAGCGGUGGAAUGCGCAGAUAUCAGGAGGAACACCAGUGGCGAAGGCGGUUCUCUGGGCCUUUCCUGACGCUGAGGAGCGAAGGCGUGGGGAGCGAACAGGCUUAGAUACCCUGGUAGUCCACGCUGUAAACGGUGGGUACUAGGUGUGGGGUCCAUUCCACGGGUUCCGUGCCGUAGCUAACGCUUUAAGUACCCCGCCUGGGGAGUACGGCCGCAAGGCUAAAACUCAAAGGAAUUGACGGGGCCCCGCACAAGCGGCGGAGCAUGCGGAUUAAUUCGAUGCAACGCGUAGAACCUUACCUGGGUUUGACAUGGAUCGGGAGCGCUCAGAGAUGGGUGUGCCUCUUUUGGGGUCGGUUCACAGGUGGUGCAUGGCUGUCGUCAGCUCGUGUCGUGAGAUGCUGGGUUAAGUCCCGCAACGAGCGCAACCCUUGUUCACUGUUGCCAGCACGUUAUGGUGGGGACUCAGUGGAGACCGCCGGGGUCAACUCGGAGGAAGGUGGGGAUGACGUCAAGUCAUCAUGCCCCUUAUGUCCAGGGCUUCACGCAUGCUACAAUGGCUGGUACAGAGAGUGGCGAGCCUGUGAGGGUGAGCGAAUCUCGGAAAGCCGGUCUCAGUUCGGAUUGGGGUCUGCAACUCGACCUCAUGAAGUCGGAGUCGCUAGUAAUCGCAGAUCAGCAACGCUGCGGUGAAUACGUUCCCGGGGCU